ACAAACAUGUAUGACUCUGAUGUUUUUGACACCAGUAACGCACGUCACUGAGGGAACGAGUACAUAAAACGUUCAUCUGCAGUGCCGCCAUCAGCUCCAGUAAGGAAGCAUGUCUAGGCCUAGUCAGUGGGAUGGGUGGCUGCACCCUCCCCUGCCUGCCCCACCAUCAGCUCCAGCAAGGAAGGUGAGAUCUGGGAUUCUGCUCUGAGAUCCCUUCUCCCUGCGGCUUGCUGGGCAUAAGUCAUCAGGACCAGGAGGCCGUGCCCUCCCCAGCCUGCCUGGCCAUCAUUUCCAGCAAGGAAGCUGCAGCAAGGAAGCUCCAGAAAAGACAGUGAGAUCAGGGAUACCUCUCUGAGAUCCAUUCUCCCUCCGGCCUCCAUGAGCCCAGGCAGUGGGACCAAGUGGCCGUUCCCUCCCCUGCCUGCCCUGCCAUCAACUCCAGCAAGGAAGGUGAGAUCUAUGUGAUCU